GCUAGAGCUGCCUCACGACUGAACAGCUAAUUAGUACCUACACCAAGAUCGGAACCCAAGCCUAUUUACUGGAGAGUGCUCCCCUAAAAUCCAUGUGCUUCCCAGAACCUCAGAAUGUGACCUUAUUUGGAAAGAGGAUCAUCCCAAAUGUGAGUAAAAUGAGGUCAUCCUGGAGGAGGGAGGGCCCCUAAUCUGAUAUGCCUGGUGUCCCUAGAAGAGGAGAAGAGACAGACACACGAGAAUGUCGCCUAAUGAUGGAGGAGGCAGUGAUUGGAGUGAGGAGGAUGCUGGUAACACCAGGAGCUAAGAGAAAGGUGGAGCAGGCCCUGUCAACCACUAGAUUACAGGCUUGUAGCUUCUCCCACUGUGAAACACCACAUUUCUCUUACAAUCUGGCUGGCUUAAAAGUAACCAAAACGUAUUGUUUCAGAGUUUUCCAGGCUGGAAGUCUGGAAUCAAGUUACCGUCUCCGUUGUUUCCUACUUGGUUAAAGCUCAGGCAGCCGGCCAUCUGAAGCCAUGCACCCUGCAAGGUGCUUUGGAAAACAAAGAAUUCGCUGAGUGCUCAGGGUCCCACGCUCCAGAACCAGCCUCUGUAGACUGUGUAUUUUCCAGUUUUCUUCACUUGCCCCGAAGGCCAUUCUGUCCACUUCCACCUUUUAAAAAUAGUAGCAGCUCUCUUAUUUAUCUUCUUCUUUUGUUGUUUGAUCAGCUGUACUCUUUAUGGGAUGUGCUUUUAAAAGAGUGAGAACCGCUGUAAACUCCAGAAUCCUGGUUUUCAUCACCACUGCCACCAUCCUCCUCCUCCUCCUCAUCACCAUCACCAUCAUUAGCUGGCUGGAAUAGGUCCAGUUGAAUUGAGACGUGCCCCCGCCACAGUCUCAGACUCACAGCUUUGCACUAAAAACGGAACCACAGUCUCUGAUGAGACUCCCCAGAAGAUGGCAGUGUGGAUCACAAAACCACGCAUCCAGCCCCACGGUACCACGCAGCCCCAGCCCGUGGAUCCUGGUGUAACCAGAAGGCCCUGGGCCCGGGGCCGUGGUGAAUGAUCCUGCUGUCGUAGCCGGGGGCCACCCGCCGCCCUGAUGAGGCCGCUGGGAGAUGGAUCAUUCCCACGUUACAGAUAAGGAGCCAGAGCCUCAGAAUGGAGAAAUAUCCUGGCAGCAGUCACUGUGCUGGAAAAUGGUGUAGUGGAAGAUUUUGAACCCAAAUCUGAUAGACUCCAAAAUCCAUUCUCUUUCCACUAAACUAUGGGGCUAGUCAUGAAUAAUGCACUUCAGGAAAACUGCAAGUACCAUCUUGAAGGAGCCCUAAGUCCUGAAAGAACCACAAAUGAUUGUUUCCAGGUUAUCAAAUUUUAAUAACAUUGUUUUAUUACAACACAACAUCUAUCCUUUUAAAGACGAUGUUCCAAGAACUCAUUAUGCAAUUAUAAAAUAAUAAAUCUCUUCACAGAGUGAAGAACCAAAGGCAGUUCCUCUUUGUAGCAACACUCAGCAUCUCCUGAAAAAAGUUUUUUUAAAUCCUAAGCAUGCAAUAUUGCUUCUUCAGGCAAGAGUGGAUGCAGCACAAAAUAAGUAUAAGCGAGGAAUUGAAUAAAACGUGGCUCAGAAUAAAUCUGAUGCAUAUACGUGGCGCUCCUAACGAUAUCCUAGGGUGAGAAUAGUCUUAAAGGUUGGUGAUUUCUCCAGUGACUGAGAUGCCAAUGGCUUUUACGUACAACCAAGUUGAAUCUUCGGCAUUUUCUCUUUUGUGUUCUCGUAUCAUUAUUGACAGUUUUCCCUUGUUACGGGUUAUUUAAUUCUAAAUGCGCACACUUGGUUUUGGAAUUUAAUGCAUAGUCAUAAUUUUAAAAAUCAGGUCAUACAGAAAAGUACAAAAAAAAAAAAGCAAAUAAACCACCUCAAAUCCCACUUAGUCUUACCAGAAAUAGAAGAUUUGAUGCUAAUUUUCCACAGAUUCACCUUCGGGGCAUACUUCAGGGCAUACUGAAGCCACUCACAGAAAGGAGGAGAAGGUGGCUGUGAUGGAUCUGGACACGUAAUUCAAUUUCAUACAACAGCCACCCUGGGGUCUAUUUGUGGAUGAUCUUUUGAGUUAACAAAAGAUUUCCCAUCCCAUACACUUGAUUCAUAAGCACACAUGAAGAAAACUUCAAGUGCAUUUCCCCCUCAUUUUAAUUAGGGCUCAUGUAGAAUAUUUUUGCUCCAAUUAUAACCAGAACUACAAGUACCUCCCCUCCUCAGCCAAAGAAGCAGUUACGAGUCCUCUGUGGUGCGCUCCGGUUCCGACCUGGGUAUCGCCGCAUUUCUUCCCAGAAGAGCAGCCUCUUGCAAAGAAUCAGGCCGCUCUGGGUAAGGUGUCAUGGCAACGGCUUAAACUGAAGAAAGACAGUGGAGACAGACCUUUUCAAACUUCGCAGACCUACACUUACGUUCCAUUCUGCUUUUAACCGUGGAGGACCCAAAUGUGACGUGAGAAAUUGCAAUAAUUUUAUUCUCUAGAAGCAUCGGUGAGCCCCCCUCCUGGAAACACGUUAGAAAAGUUUUUACCCUUUGCCCUUUGCAUAGAUAGGUCCAAAGACCUUCCCAGGUGUAAAUUUUUCAUCAUGUACCACAGCAGAGAACAACAAAACCGUUGCACUCCGGCUGCUGAGCAAGUGGCUCAGCCCACUCAGGAGCCCAGGGACUCCCUCCUGCAGACCAGGCUUAGAAAACUGAGAGUUAUCUAUCGCUGUGCAUAACAACAUUCUCAGAAACUAGUGCCAGAACCACCGUUUUCUUUAUCUCACAUUUUAUGGGUCAGAAACUUGGGCAGGGCUCAGCUGGGCAAUUUUUCUGUCCCAUGUGGUGUUGAGUGAGAUGUCCAACUGGCAGCUGGGCAAGUCGAGGGAAUCCACGACAGCUCCGUUCGUUGGUAUGGUUGCAGAGACAACUAGAAGGCUGGACCUGGCUGGGGCCAUGGCCCAGAGAGCCUGCAUGUAAUCUCUUCAACUUGGCCAAUGUAGCAUCAUCGGAGUUCUUCCAUGGUGGCUCAAAGCUACCACAGUAAGGGUGUUCCAAGAUGCUCAGGUAGCAGCAGCAAGGCUUCUUGUUAAGUUAGUUUCAGAAGUCCCAGAAUGUUACUUCUACAAAUUCUGCUGGCUAAGCAGGUCACUAAGUCCAGCCCAGAUUCAGAGGGUCAUGAAUAGACAGCACCGUGAAAUGGGAAAAAGAGCAAAGAAUGUGGCCAUCCUUCAUGUACAUCACCUGUGCCAGGGUCUGCUGCUAGGGGAACCCAACCUAAGACACUUGCCUACAAGAUUCUUCAGGAUCUGGCUCCUGCCCUGUGUCUAGGGUCAUCUCAUGCCCUCACAUUCGCCUCUGGUGCCUGACAUGCCAGAUUCUCUUCUGUUUUUCUAACACUGCAUGUUCUAUCUUGCUCCUAUGCCUUUAUUUAAUUUACUUAUUAUAUACAAAGUAAAAAAAAAAAAUACACAGUAUAUGUUGAUGCUCUCCUCUGCCUAGAAUGUCCUCCUACUCCAUCCUUGUUUACCUGCAGCUGAGCUCAUCCCUAGAGUCCUUGACUGGGCUUCACCUUCUUCUUUCCAGUGAAGUCAUGCACUUCCACCCUGCUCCUGCCUCUGCAGCAUGGAACACAUCGAUUUCCUUGUCAGUAAGUUCCUCCAGAGAAGGAAUUCUUCUUUCCCCUACUUCGGUAUCCUCAUGUCUGAUGAUGGAUGAAUGAAUUAUGUGUGGCCCUAAGAACUCCAAGGCAAAAAUAUAAACAGUUCAGCAAAUUGCUAAAUUUUUACAUUGAUGUUCUCCUGCCAUUUUUAAGGGAUUUUCUUAACGUCAACCAGCUUAAUGUAGGAGCCGGUCACCAAGCUGUCAUGAGGCUGAGGGGGGUCAGGUGGGGAGAUAAUCUAAUACAAUUAUUAUUAUUAUUAUUAUUUUUGAGAUGGAGUCUCGCUCUGUGUUGUCUCACCCUGUGGUGUAGUAGAUUGAGAGCAAUAUUUGAGUUGAAGAGAGCUGGGCUCAAGUCCUUACUCGGUUCAUUAUUGUGUGACCAACCUAGAGCAGGAGGUUCUGGGGGAGAUACCACCAACAAUGGGGGCUCCACUCCCCAGGGCAUAGGGCGGAGGUAGAGUUGGUGGCUAACCUUCUGUUCUGAGGGCAAAGGGAGCUCCGGAUCCUUGGUCCUGGAGGAACUGCAGAGGAAAGAAACAUGGCCCUGGACCUCCAGGGAACACACAGUGAGCUCAGCCCCACCCCGGAACCACACCUGUGGACGCUGGAUGCUGAACCAAUGGAUAAAGUGAAGGGAAUUAUGUGUGGGCCCCAAGCCAAAGCAGGACAGGUGGCUCAACCAGAGGACCUGCGCCAACAUUCCAUUCUGCAUCAGUGCCCAAACAAAGAUGCCUCUCACCAGGGCUCCAGCUUCUCUGUGAGUUAAACAUUAACUGGGGCUCGAGCCCCUGUAUCCAGGAAUGCAGUAAACACGAAGUUCUCAGCCAGGGUCUGAUACCCUCCUGAGGGCAUCUGAAACGUGUGAAGGUGUUUCUGGCUGACCCGUUGGUCCUCAGGAAAGAGCAUUCGCCAGCAACAGCACAUGCUCUGCAGCUCAUGGCAGAGACCCGCACAAUGAAGACACGUCCUGACCAAAUGCCAGCAGCUCCCCCUCGAGAAGGGCUGCUAGGGAGCCACGCUGGUGUCCUGGGCUGCUGGAAUGCAGAGGGGAGGGGCAGCCUCAGUAUCUUGAAUUCCAGUGAGCCUCACUUUCCUCAUUUAAUCUCAAGGAUGCUUGCAAGAAUCAAGAGAUAAUUACAUUUGAGUCUUUUGUCGACUGCAAAUGUUAUAAAUACAUCAAUCAUUGCAAUGUGUCCUCCAGUGGCUCCUAAAUG